GUAAUCACUUGUCUUUUAAAUGAAGACCUGUAUGAAUGGCAUCACGAGGGCCUUACUGUCUCCUUUUUCCAGUCAAUGAAAUUGAUCUCCCCGUGCAGAAGCGGGGAUAAAAACAUAAGACGAGAAGACCCUGUGAAGCUUAAAGACGACAAGCAGACCAAACUAACCACCCCCAGAUAAAAGAACUAAAGCACUGGAUCCUGCUCUAAUGUCUUUGGUUGGGGCGACCACGGAGAAACAAAAAACCCCCACGUGGACUAGGAGCACUAAUUUAUUCCUUUCCCUCUCCUACAACCCAGAAUUACCUCUCUAAGUAACAAAACUUUUGACCAAAAAUGAUCCGGCCACGCCGAUUAACGAACCAAGUUACUCCAGGGAUAACAGCGCUAUCCCCUUCUAGAGCCCAUAUCGACAAGGGGGUUUACGACCUCGAUGUUGGAUCAGGACAUCCUAAUGGUGCAGCCGCUAUUAAGGGUUCGUUUGUUCAACGAUUAAAGUCCUACGUGAUCUGAGUUCAGACA
rnacentral:rRNA from 1 species